UCACUGGGCAAUGUCUCAAGGCUUUGGUGCAAGUUUGGUGCCGCUGUGUCCUGCCUGUGCCAGCUCAAAGAGGGCUCCAGUGCCAGGCUCCGGCCCCUGAGCCCUUACUGUGUGCAUGGGGCCAGCCUCGUCCCUGCGGCUUCCUCGGGGAGCUUCCUCCUCCUCCUCCACUGCGUGGUGCCCGGGGGGGGCCUUCAAUGGCAGGAGGAAGCAAAAAAUAACCUCGGCUUCAGAUUGGGAAGCUGCCGUCUCCCAUAACGACGCUGAAUCGCGGCUCUGGGGACUGGUCUGCGGGCUUUGCUGACGGGGGGACAUCUCUGAGGCAAAACGCAGCAGGUCCGUAGCACCGUGCGCUCAGCCUGCAAGAGGUGAGCAAACUCUUUGCCCCUGCGUGAUUCUGCAGUACUGCAGCUAGCCGUUACCCCUUCCCAGCAGGGCGUCCCGGGCUCCUCGCUCGCCCUGGUGUCUCCCAGGAGGCACAGCACCAUCGCUCAGCACCACCAGGGAUGUGCCGGGAGGGCUCAAGGAAUCCUAAGAGCACGCUCUGAGCAGCUGGGCAGGCAGCGGCCCUCCGUGAUGCCGGCCGUGCGUAUCCCCGGGUGCCAGAGCGGGGGGACCCGGGCAGCUCUGACGCUGCACCAGCAUUAGGAGCAGCGGGUUCCAGCCGAGCGUGCCUUUUAACGAACAGCCUCUCCAUGCAAAGGGCUGCGCUGCUGCAACCUCGUUAUUAAACAGCGCACGGUGCCGCGCGAUAGCGGCGAUGAAGAAAAGCCCCGGUAUGGUACGUGGGCCUCGCCGCUUCCCGAGUCGCCGAUCUCCUUGGUUACAGCAACUCCCCACAACACCCAACGCAAAGGCAGUGCCUGAGCUCGGGCUGCCGGCAGCAGCUCCUCAGCUGGAGAGCUCAGAUCCCGGCUUCGGGGGAAGCU